rnacentral:rRNA from 1 species
GUGGGGAAUAUUGGACAAUGGGCGCAAGCCUGAUCCAGCAAUGCCGCGUGCAGGAAGAAGGCCUUCGGGUUGUAAACUGCUUUUGUACGGAACGAAACGGUCCUGGUUAAUACCUGGGGCUAAUGACGGUACCGUAAGAAUAAGCACCGGCUAACUACGUGCCAGCAGCCGCGGUAAUACGUAGGGUGCGAGCGUUAAUCGGAAUUACUGGGCGUAAAGCGUGCGCAGGCGGUGCUGUAAGACAGGCGUGAAAUCCCCGGGCUCAACCUGGGAAUUGCGAUUGUGACUGCAGUGCUGGAGUACGGCAGAGGGGGAUGGAAUUCCGCGUGUAGCAGUGAAAUGCGUAGAUAUGCGGAGGAACACCGAUGGCGAAGGCAGUCCCCUGGGCCUGUACUGACGCUCAUGCACGAAAGCGUGGGGAGCAAACAGGAUUAGAAACCCGUGUAGUCC